ensembl:snRNA U1 U1 spliceosomal RNA
AUCCUUACCUGGCAGGGGAGACACCAUGAUCAGGCAGGUGGUUUUCCCAAGGUAAGGCUCAUCCCUUGCACUCUGUGUGUGCUGACCCCUGUGAUUUCCCCAAAUGUGGGAAACUCAACCUUCUUUUUUUUUUUUUUUAUGGGGCAGUGGCCCUGG